CUGGGAUAUUGGAGACAUCUUCGCAGAGGUAGUGGAGAGGGUCUCUGAUCCUGGUCCCUUGGGAAGUGAAGACUGCCAAAAUAUAACUACUCAGCCAGAGAUCGUGGGUGUGAAUAUCCCCUGGAAACCCAAAAGUCCCAAGUGCGCAGAGCCUGAACGUGAUAACAGUUCUGAUGGUGCGAAAAUGGCAACAACCAACAGUUUAAAGAUUCCCGAUUUCCAAAUCCGAAGAUUUGAAGAGACUGAGGUUGUGGUGUCUCACAUUGUGAGUCCGAGCAACUUCUACAUCCAGCAGGCAGACUCCCAUGAGAAGCUACAGGCCUUUGCCACAGAGUAAGUCAUUCAUUGCUGAGGCUAAACUUAAGUCUGCUUUUUCUCAGAUUUUCCCGCUGAUUCACUGAUGACAUUUUCAGAACUUAAAGAGCCAUUUAUGCCUUUUAUUCAUAACCGUUUUCUUUGUAGAUUUUUUUUUUCUUUUUUAAUAACCCACAUGUUUCUGGUCAUCAUCAUUAUUAUUUUCAUUUGGCACAGCUGGAAAGCCAGUAGUUCAAAUGCUGAGCAGAACUGCAUUCCAGAUAUUGGAACCGUAGUAAUGGGUUGGGUCGCCGAGCGAGAACAAUGGUGCAGGAGCCAGGUGAUAAAGAUAUGUGGCGUGAGCAGAGGUGGGUUCUGUCCUUGUGUUGAAAUGUUUUUGCAGAUGUAUGCCUCUAGAUGGUAGCAGUGUCACUUUGUUUUCCUGGUAGCCACUUGGGAAUAUCACACUGGAUUUUUAGUCUUGCUUUGUAUGCUCUCUGUCUUUUGGAUGUAAGAUGGUGCUGGGACAGAGACAUCCAUCAAGGUGGAAGUGAAAAGGUUGGACUAUGGUGACACUGCCUGUCUGUCACUGUCAAAUAUAAAGGAGCUGACCCCUGAAAUGGCUACUAUACCACUUCAGGCUGUGCAGGUUUCACUGACUAAUGUGAUGCCUCUGAAUGGGAGAGAUUGGUCUGAGGAGGCAGUCGGCUGGUUCAAAGCGACUGUACACAACAGGACCCUCUAUGCUAGGCUGUACCCACAGGAAGGCAAAGUUACAGUCGAGCUGUUCAUGGAGAAGGGAAAGCUCGGAGCCAUGAGGAGGGGUGCUUCAUUGUCUUUGAGACUGGCCCAGAAUGGACACGCCAUCCACAGCAAACUUAAGAAGACCAGUCUCAUCAAAAGAAACAGUGUUCAGCUUAAAGCCCAGAAACAGGACUCUGACUGGGAGAAGUAUCUCAUAUCAUGCUACACUCAAAGGAAGUAGUUCGUGUGUGUGUGUGUGUGUGUGUGUGAGAAAGAAAUUAAAAGUAGAUUUAUAAAGGAUUAACUGGACUAGUACACAUUAAGUCAUGUUUUUCUUUUGUAUCUCGAGCUUUUAUUCUUUAUGUACAGGGAAAGCAUACAAAGCUAGUUUUGCUUGUUUUAUUUUGACUGUAUAAUUUAAAGAUAUUGGUUAACCUGUUCCAUUUUGCUGUGUUUAAGAACAGAACUGUAUUUCAAGUCCUGAUUAUUUUUAGCCACUAGACAGUGCCUGCUCAGUCUGAUUACCCGCUUUCUAUUAAGUUGUAUUCAUAUCUAUAUUAUUACCUUAUCUGCAUGGUACAACAGGUCUUUUUUGGUUUUGUUUUUUAAAUGUAUAAUUUUUCUUUGAUCAC
ensembl:lncRNA